rnacentral:rRNA from 1 species
GACGAACGCUGGCGGCGUGCUUAACACAUGCAUGUCGAACGGAAAGGCCCUGCUUUUGUGGGGUGCUCGAGCGGCGAACGGGUGAGUAACACGUGAGUAACCUGCCCUUGACUUUGGGAUAACUUCAGGAAACUGGGGCUAAUACCGGAUAGGAGCUCCUGCUGCAUGGUGGGGGUUGGAAAGUUUCGGCGGUUGGGGAUGGACUCGCGGCUUAUCAGCUUGUUGGUGGGGUAGUGGCUUACCAAGGCUUUGACGGGUAGCCGGCCUGAGAGGGUGACCGGCCACAUUGGGACUGAGAUACGGCCCAGACUCCUACGGGAGGCAGCAGUGGGGAAUAUUGCACAAUGGGCGGAAGCCUGAUGCAGCAACGCCGCGUGCGGGAUGACGGCCUUCGGGUUGUAAACCGCUUUCGCCUGUGACGAAGCGUGAGUGACGGUAAUGGGUAAAGAAGCACCGGCUAACUACGUG